UGAAGUAUGGUAUAAUAAACGUUGCAAGCAAGUUUAUGGUGGUGGCUAGCCUCUUCUCAAAGAAAGAGGUGAUGCCUAUGAUUUUUUUGUUAGGCUCUCCUGGAAAGGAUAUGCAAUGACCGUUUAUGAAGCAUUGUCUUUCGCAAUCGCUUUUGCAACCCUUGUGUUGCUCAUAAGUAGUCAAAA
rnacentral:sRNA from 21 species